GACGUAGGGGGCCAGCGUUGUUCGGAAUUACUGGGUGUAAAGGGUUCGUAGGCGGCGUAGCAAGUCGGGAGUGAAAUCUCUGGGCUUAACCCAGAGGCUGCUUCCGAAACUGCUGUGCUUGAGUGUGGGAGAGGCGCGUGGAAUUGCAGGUGUAGCGGUGAAAUGCGCAGAUAUCAGGAGGAACACCGGUGGCGAAGGCGGGUCUCUGGGCCGAAACUGACGCUGAGGAGCGAAAGCGUGGGGAGCGAACAGG
rnacentral:rRNA from 1 species